AGAGACCCACAAUUGUAUAACUUUAUUGGCACCGCGCACAACUUUCGCCCUAUGUAGCAACUCACGUUCUGGUGCAUACGGGUUUACCCUGUGGGUAGAAUCCUCGAUUACCACGCUCAACAGACGGAUGCGCGAGUUUUCGAUUGAUCAAUCGUUGAGGGGGGGGGGUAAUUGAUUUAAUCGAUUGCAUGGAGGUCGGUCGGCGAUGCCGAGCCGCCUCAUUCAUGGGCCGGGGCCUCCGCGACCUGGGCCUCGGUGCGGCCUGAGCGGGGGGAGAAGCCUGAAGUAGGCCGAAGUAGCGCGAUAUCGUUACCACUGUCUUGGGGGGCGUCAUUGUUAUUAUCACUGCUGCUACAACACCAGUGGCUUCGUUAUUAUAGUUGCGUUGAUGCUAUGAGUCAUGUUGGGUCUCCUGUCGUCGCGGCGCAACGGAGCGGACGAGCCGCCCAGGCUGCGCGUCGCCGAGUCCACGCGAAGGGUGUUCAACCUGGAGCUGAGCAGUGAGCGGGACGUGGAGUGCGUGCACAGCAGUGGCGUCAAUGUCCUCGACAUCGACCAAGCAGAAAAUAAGUAUAUGCUCUCUGGAGGAGCUGAUGGAGUGAUUGCCAUCUACAACCUGGAGAAUGUCUCCCAGAAACCUCAAUACACAUGCAAGGCCAUCUGCACAGUGGGCAGGUCCCAUGCACAUGUGCACCAGUACAGUGUGGAGACGGUGCAGUGGUACACCCACGACACAGGAAUGUUUCUGUCGAGCUCCUUUGACAAGACACUCAAGGCAUGGGACACCAAUGCUUUGGAGCCUGCAGAAAUUUACACAUUUUCGGAAAAGGUUUAUUGUCACCAUAUGUCUCCAAUUGCAACGCAGCACUCCCUAAUUGCAGUUGGAACCAGUGGCAGCAAAGUGCAGCUGUGUGACCUGAGAACGGGCUCGAGCACUCACAUCCUGAACGGUCACCGGAACGCGGUGCUUGCAGCUCGCUGGUCGACGCGGCACGAGUUUGUCCUGGCUACUGGAAGUCGUGAUAACAGUGCGAAGUUGUGGGACGUGAGGAAGGCCACGGGCUGUUUGCUCACCCUGGAUCAGCACAAGGGCGAGGCCUGGGGAGGCUCCAAUUCCUCGAGCAGCAGAGACCGCAGCGGAACGCAGACAUCGCACGGCGGACACGUCAACGGGCUCUGCUUCACCAAGGAUGGGCUCCACCUCCUCACCCUGGGCACAGACGACCGCCUAAAGCUCUGGAGGACCGACACGGGCACAAAUCUUCUGGUGAACUACGGCCGGGUCAGCAACGGUUCCCGCAAAGGGGUGAAGUUCGCCAUGUCGGCAGACUGCUCACCGGACCUCGUGUUUAUUCCGAUGGGCAGUCACGUAACUGCGUUUGAGAUCCACUCCGGGCGGGUACACACCCAGCUCAGUGGCCACUACAACAAGGUCAACUGCUGUGAAUAUUAUUCAGACUUCCAGGAGCUGUAUAGUGGCGGUAAUGACAGUAACAUCCUGGUCUGGGUGCCCAACAUGGGCAGGACUCAACCGGAGGAGGAAGAAACAGACAAGAAGUCUGGAAGCAAGCAGCGCAGUGGCUUCCAGGAUUCCUGGAGCAGUAGCGAUGAAGAUUAAGUUGGACGGGGACCACCAGCUGAUGACGAUGAUGACAACGCAUCCACCCAUCCGUGCAGAAAAGGAAGAACAUAACAAGUGCAACAAGAAGUCACAACAACCGUGACAGUGCUGCAAUGGGGACACCGGGGGGAGGAUGGACACAUUUUUUACGUCACCUCACAAGUAACUUUCACGGAAUGCGGUGCUUCAAUUUCAACCAACGUUGACGGUGCAAGGUGGUGGAAUCGGGAUUGGUGACAUUUCACUUGGCACUCGGUGCCUCUUAGGGGCAGCAAACCGAGGAAUCGCCCCUCCAACCCUUCAUUCACAUCUAUGUCCCUUUACACACCAUGUGAUGUUUAGCCGGUGCUGCUGCUUCUUCUACUAAACGUGGCGAUCAUCAACCGAACCCUCUCUUCAAUGUGAUUCAACGUUUGGUGGCCAAAUUUCCCAAUUGAACUACCACAUCGGCGCCAUUCAGAAGCGAGAUCCUGCCAUGAGAUAUUUCGCGCAUGUUGAAUUUGUUCAGAAAGUAUGAGAUAAGUGGGAUUUUUUGUAUCCUUUGGAUAUCGGUCUCUUAUAAAGGGUAGAUAAUAUAUUUAAGCACCAGUCCCUCGCACACAACUAGUUCUCCAGCUUCAAGAAUGCCGUCAAAUGUACAUAGUUCAUAGCAGGAUACGUCGAUCACUGGCCUGUUUCACAUCUCGUGCGAAUUCAAUAUUUAGAAAUGGACCUCAAAUAAAAACUGACAAGUUGUGGAGGACGGUGUGGGUGUGAUGAGGCCAACAUUCGUCGGAUGUGCUGCUCAAUUGUGAGCUGGUUUGUUUCACUUGUAUAUGUAUCACCACCAUUCCUCAGUUUAAAAAAUUGAAUAAGUUAUCCCAUUGGCCGUUAAAGCACAUGACAUUUCACCAAUCCUGUGCUAUCCCCAUGUAAAUGAAAUCUCAAAGUGUCACACUGUGAACGUUCUUUCUUCAGCUGAGGGUGGGUGAUGACAAGUCAUGAGAUGCUGAUUAGAUGUGUAUUCAGCCCCCCACUGCGAGACGCGAUCACCAACAGCUUCCCUUUCAGUGGUGAUGUGCUGUCUCUAACGUGUCCUUGCAGGCACUUGGUAUCGACAUUAUCACAAGGGACCAUCUGUGAAUUUUACUAAGCACAAGUUUGGGAGCUGCAGUCAUUACCAGAACAUGCUGUCUUUAUCAAUGGUUUUCAAUGUUCGUAUAACAUACAUGAAUAAAAUAUUCGACCAAAAGUAAAGUACUGGAUGCGAAUCCAACUGAGUGUAAUGGAACCGGCAAGCUCACCGCCACUAGCUCUAACGAGACACGUUUGGGCGAAUUGCGAUGUUAAAAAAAAAAUGCAUCUGGCAGUCACGGUCGUUUGUUGGGGGGGAGUGUUCACUGCUUAUUCUGUCAUUAACCACUGCUGCUGUGAUUAUGGUGAUUUACAAUUAACAUGGGUCCGUGUGUCGGCUGAAAGGGGUCUCUGCCAAUUAUUUUUCCAGGAAUGCCUUGCCGAGUCUCAGACUAUUUAAAGAUGUUGCUGCUACUGCAUUGCAAUGUUUGGCCAGUGCUCAAUCCGUGUUUGGCAUUUGUGGUGAAGUAUGGCCCAACAAUGUUCCAUGUCUGACAUGGUAUGAGUAGGCCUUAAAUAAAAGUUGACAACUGAA